GAUGAAGAACGUAGCGAAAUGCGAUAAGUAAUGUGAAUUGCAGAAUCCAGUGAAUCAUCGAAUCUUUGAACGCACAUUGCGCCCGCCAGUAUUCUGGCGGGCAUGCCUGUCCGAGCGUCAUUUCAACCAUCAAGCCCCAGGCUUGUGUUGGGGACCUGCGUCCGACGCAGGCCCUGAAAACCAGUGGCGGGCUCGCUGUCCACACCGAGCGUAGUAACUAACCUCGCUACGCGAGCGGCGCGGGCGCCUGCCGUAAAACCCCCAAUUUUCACAAGGUUGACCUCGGAUCAGGUAGGAAUACCCGCUGAACUUAAGCAUAUCAAUAAGCGGAGGA
rnacentral:misc_RNA from 1 species